rnacentral:hammerhead_ribozyme from 1 species
ACACUACUGAGGAAUCCAAUACUAGGACGAAACGGCCGUUCAGUGU